GGAGUCUAGCAUGUGCGCGAGUCAUUGGGACUAUCGAAUCCUAAAGGCGAAAUGAAAGUAAAGGCGAAGCCUCGCUUUGCAGAGGGAAGAUGGGCAUCAUUUGAUGCCUCGCAUUCCCGGGGCGUCUCGUUCUCAUUGCGAGAAGAGGCGCACCUAGAGCGUACACGCUGGGACCCGAAAGAUGGUGAACUAUGCCUGGUCAGGACGAAGUCAGGGGAAACCCUGAUGGAGGUCCGUAGCGAUUCUGACGUGCAAAUCGAUCGUCGGAACUGGGUAUAGGGGCGAAAGACUAAUCGAACCAUCUAGUAGCUGGUUCCCUCCGAAGUUUCCCUCAGGAUAGCUGGCGCUCGUUUAACGAGUUUCAUCCGGUAAAGCGAAUGAUUAGAGGCAUUGGGGUCGAAACGUCCUCAACCUAUUCUCAAACUUUAAAUGGGUGAGAUCUCCGGCUUGCUUGAAUGUAAUAUACUUGAAGCCGCGAGAAUUUGAACGAAUCAGAGUGCCAAGUGGGCCACUUUUGGUAAGCAGAACUGGCGCUGUGGGAUGAACCAAACGUUGAGUUAAAGCGCCGAAAUCGACGCUUAUGGGAUACCAUGAAAGGCGUUUGUAACUUAAAACAGCAGGACUGUGGCCAUGGAAGUC
rnacentral:rRNA from 1 species